CUUCUCAUCGCCUCUUGUGUCUCCAGGCAAUUUAAAACACAUCCCCAGUUAGGACCGGUGUGGGCCAAGCAAGCCAUCGGAUGCACCUUGACUCGGGGUGAAGACGCUGCAGCUCCGGCCGCCGCACCACCCUUUGCAGGGCAGCAGGGCGCAGGCAGCCUCGGCACGCCGCAGAGCCCCGGCGGCGAGCGUCCCUACGAGCGAGGGAGGUGUCACCAGCUCCGCAGAGCCGCAUGCUCGCAGAACGGGGAACCUCGCUCACUUGCUCACAGAUACAAAUACCUGCGCCUCCGCCACCUGCCUGCCCCCUCCGCGCCUCGCUCCGGGCCUGGCGACGCCUGGCACCGACACGGAGCCGGUCUCUCCCGGGGGUGUCCGAGCCCAGCAGGUAUCUGCUUUGGCAAAGACUGGGGAGUCUGCGGCUCCCCGUUUGAAGCAUCACAGGAGCGGCGUGAGGGAUGCAAGGGGAUGAGGAAAGACGGGAGCAGUGGGCUGCAAACUGGGGGCGCUGAGAAGAGGAGUGCCAGAUCACAUCAGGCUGUAAGAUACCUGAGGACUGUUUGUUUGCAGACUGCUGGAAGACAGAGACGGAAUCACCUAUUGGUGAGUCAUAACCACACAAUCGCAGAGGAGUGAUGGCACAGACUCGCAAAGACACAGAGAGUGAUAACAGCUUAAAACUGUCUUCUUUCCCCUUCUACUUUUUGAUAAAAAAACAAAAUACUGGGACUAGAUUCUCAGCCGGGGCAAAGGAAAGUAACUCCAUUGCUUUUGUCACAGCACACAUUUACACUUUCUGAGGUUGUAGCCCGUUCUGUUUGUCAAAAAUUGUUCUUCCUGAGUAGAUUAUUCCUUCCUUUCUAUAAACUUGAGUUUAAUUCUUGGAAAAUGGCUGGCUUGCUAUGUUCUUUAUUGUUGUAAGCUUGCUUGACAGGGGAAAGGAAGGCUAAUCAAACACUGGGCCACUGGCAUGCAGAGCAAUAAAAAGGAAAAUGGGAGUAUCUUAGGUCCUUAC
rnacentral:lncRNA from 1 species